rnacentral:rRNA from 1 species
UACGUAGGGUGCGAGCGUUGUCCGGAAUUAUUGGGCGUAAAGGGCUCGUAGGCGGUUUGUCGCGUCGGGAGUGAAAUCCACUGGCUUAACUGGUGGCUUGCUUUCGAUACGGGCAGACUGGAGGUAUGCAGGGGAGAACGGAAUUCCUGGUGUAGCGGUGAAAUGCGCAGAUAUCAGGAAGAACACCCGUGGCGAAGGCGGCUCUCUGGUACGUGACUGACGCUGAGACGCGAAAGCGUGGGGAGCAAACAGG